rnacentral:rRNA from 1 species
UCCUGUACUACCGAUAACCGUUUGAGAGAAGGGAUGACACAGUAGGAUAAGCUAAGCACACUGUUGGUUAUGUGUGCCCAAGCAUUGAGGCAGUCAAAGUAGGCAAAUCCGCUUUGAUAAUGCUGGGAUGUGAUGGGGAGCGAAAUUUAGUAGCGAAGUAGCUGAUUUCACACUGUCAAGAAAAGUCUCUAUCGAGGGUAAAGGUACCCGUACCGCAAACCGACACAGGUGGGUGAGGAGAGUAUCCUAAGGCCAGCGAGAGAACUGUUGUUAAGGAACUCGGCAAAAUGACCCCGUAACUUAGGGAUAAGGGGUGCCACCAUCAGGUGGCCGCAGAGAAUAGGCCCAAGCGACUGUUUACCAAAAACAUAGGUUUCUGCUAAGUCGCAAGACGAUGUAUAGGAGCUGACGCCUGCCCGGUGCUGGAAGGUUAAGGGGAUCUGUUAGAGCAAUCGAAGCAGUGAACUUAAGCCCCAGUAAACGGCGGCCGUAACUAUAACGGUCCUAAGGUAGCGAAAUUCCUUGUCGGGUAAGUUCCGACCCGCACGAAAGGCGUAACGAUUUGGGCACUGUCUCAACAACAGACUCGGUGAAAUUGUAAUUCCGGUGAAGAUGCCGGAUACCUGCGACAGGACGGAAAGACCCCAUGGAGCUUUACUGUAGCUUGACAUUGGGUCUUGGUACUACAUGUACAGGAUAGGUGGGAGGCUUUGAAACCAGGACGCCAGUUUUGGCGGAGCCAUCCUUGGGAUACCACCCUUGUAGUACUGGGACUCUAACCAUAGGCCAUGAAUCUGGUCUUGGGACACUGUCAGGUGGGCAGUUUGACUGGGGCGGUCGCCUCCCAAAAGG